UAUGGUCUCUCUCUCUGUACAGUAUAGCUGUGUACGGUCUCUCUCUCUGUACAGUAUAGCUGUCUGUGUACGGUCUCUCUGUACAGUAUAGCUGUGUACGGUCCCCCUCUCUGUACAGUAUAGCUGUGUAUGGUCUCUCUCUCUGUACAGUAUAGCUGUCUGUGUAUGGUCUCUCUGUACAGUAUAGCUGUGUAUGGUCUCUCUCUCUGUACAGUACAGCUGUGUACGGUCUCUCUCUCUGUACAGUAUAGCUGUGUAUGGUCUCUCUCUGUACAGUAUAGCUGUGUACGGUCCCCCUCU